GGUUGGGUCACAAAAAUGGUUGGGUCAUAGAAAAGUGUGGGGGCAUAGAAAAGGUUUGGUUAUAGGAAAGGGUUGGGCCAUAGCAACCCCGUACCCAGGCUCUUACCUUCGCACGCGAGCCUGGGUACGAGGUUGGGGCCAUAGAAAAGUGUGGGGUCAUAGAAAAGUGUGUGGUCAUAGAAAAGUGUGGGGCCAUAGAAAAGUGUGGGGCAAUAGAAGUGUGGGGUCAUAGAAAAGUGUAGAGUCAUAGAAAAGUGUGGAGCAAUAAAAAAGUGUUGGGUGAUAGAAAAGUGCGGGGUGAUAGUAAAGUGUGGGGUGAUAGUAAAGCGUGGGGUCAUAGAAAAGUGUGGGGCCAUAGAAAAGUGUGGGGCAAUAGAAAAGUGUGGGGUCAUAGAAAAGUG